UGAUGUUCUCGUCUCUCAUAUAGAGAUAUAUACCUCUUCCUUCCAAGCACUCUCAAAAUGUAGAAUGAUCAGUUCUUGUCUGUUGCCUUGUUUGUGUCUAUGA